rnacentral:rRNA from 1 species
UACGGAGGGUGCAAACGUUGCUCGGAAUCAUUGGGCGUAAAGCGAGCGUAGGCGGUCUUGUAAGUCGGAUGUGAAAGCCCUUGGCUUAACUGAGGAAGUGCAUCCGAAACUGGCAGGCUAGAGUACUAAAGAGGGUCGCGGAAUUCCCGGUGUAGAGGUGAAAUUCGUAGAUAUCGGGAGGAACACCGGUGGCGAAGGCGGCGACCUGGGUAGAUACUGACGCUGAGGAGCGAAAGCGUGGGGAGCGAACAGG